UUAAAAACAUGAAAAGAACAUAUAUCGACGUAGAUAGAAAAAGACGAUAGAAAAGACAAUAACAGUUUGAUAUGGCCCAAAUUGUCUAUAUUGUUGGAAGAGAAUCUAGGUGGAAAGGAUAGAUGGGGAAAGCAAAAUCCAAACUCUUUACUCCUAUUUAAUCUUAAUGUUUAUUUUGAUCCUCAAUACCCAAAAUGUUCCUCAUCUUUCCAUCUUAAUUUGGUGCCAUAUUUGACCACUUUCACUGUAUAUGGUCGUCAUCUCCAUAGUUUUUUGUGUCUAAAAUUGAAUUGAACCAUUAUAAAUCCACUGAGUUUAGUCCAAACGACCGUCUGUGUGUUGUUUAUUUAUGAACUCUGGUUUUGAUCCUAGAGAGAGAGAGAGAGAGAGAAGAAGAAGAAGAAGAAGAUGAAGGGAUGGAGAUUAUGGGAUUGUUUGAAACGCUCAUUCCUCUUACCCACUAAGCUGUUUCUUCUUAGAGUGAACUCACGCCAUCUCGUUCAGCCUAAAGGCAAUGGGAAGGGACUAGGGAGCCUAUACAAGGACAUAGAGUCAUGUGGAGAGUACAGAGAUAUCCAAGUGAUGUGGGAUAUGAUCCAUUCCUGUCCUCCUCGCUGUCCAUGAGUAGCAGCAGCUUCAGAUGAGACACCAAUCUGUUCUCUGCAACAAUGUUCAUGAAAACACAGAAUGUUCAUAAUAUAAUAAUAAUACGAGAAGGGAUGAGUUUUGGGAUGUGGAAGUUUAUCAAUCAAAAUCAAGCUAGUGUUUGAUUGAUGUGGUUCUUAUCCUUGCCCCGAUGUGUUCAUGAUCUGCAACAAAGUCUGGUUCUUGUUUGGGGUUUCCUAUCAGUUGAAGAUGAAGAUGAGAAGUGGUGUGGGAUUUAGUCUGUUUCUUGUUGAUUUCAUUUGCAGAUAUUACACUGGACAAGAAUGUAAUGCCAAAAGCUUAAUUUAGGGAGGGAGCUAUUAGCUAUUCAACUUAUUAUUAUAUCAUGCAUCAAUGUUUAAUGAUUGAUAUAUGAUUGCAUGCAUCUAUUGUAACUUCA